UUCCCAGAUCAUUUCUCUAGAAAUGCCAUAGGUUCUUUUACUUCUGCUCGAGAGAUGAUUGGCGAUUUGGUUAUUUUUUCAUUUCAACUUUGGUGACGUAACAUUCCCUUACUACGAAGCCGGACUAUUCGCCCCGAGGCUGCAUUUUCAAAGUGUACCCAUUUCCCCACAGUGAUGAAAGAGAGCCCAUCUACCCCCACCCCCAUCACUCCGACACAAUACGAAAUGCUACAAGAGAAAAAGGAAUAUGGAAAGUAAAGAACAUCGAGCGACGGGACAGAGGGAGGAGAGAAAGAGAGAGAACAAAGACUGGAUGUUCAUAUAAACUAUACAGUGGCAGUUUCCGGGGUUCUUGUACAAAUCGAUCCAGACCCGGAUCCCUCAGUGACUAGAGUCUGUGAAAGAGUACAGAAUCGGGUUUGUUUACAGAAGCCUCAGCGAGUAACGUCCCGGAAUGUGCUGUCAGCCAAUCACAAUGGUGGAAUUGGGAGAAGGAUCUAGAGAACGCAGGUGUAGGUGGAGAUCUUUUUAGCGGGAGCCGGAAGAUGGCUGAGGAUGCCAUCCCUGUUGCACAAGGUGCUUUGUGCAGAUGAAUGGCUUCAAUGAGAAGGACCAAUAUUACCAUGGGGGAGCUCGUUUGUUUGAGAUGGAUUUUGAGCGACACUUGGAAGACGGUGUGAUUCUUCACAGAGCCCGAGGGUCCAGUGCACAAGUUACUAACAACUUCAAAAUAAGCACCAAUUUAUGUGCACAGUUGACUGCUUAAUUACAAUUGGUCCUUUUUGUUUUUUUCUUUCUUUUCUUUAAUAAAUCUUUGCUUAAGUUAACAUACAUAAAUAUAUUUUCUUUAUAAUUGCAUGCAGUGUAUGAUUUGUUAUUCCUUGCCAACAGGCAGUAAAUAGCACAGCAAUCACACAAACUGGGGGUUGGGUAGGCGAGACAACCCAAUCUCAUGGGUUUGGCAGGACCAAAUAUACACCCUAGAAUUACAGAGCCUGAGAAAGGUGGUUUCCUAGUUGUGGAGUCCAGUGGCUGUUAGCUUGGGGCUAACAAGUUGCAUUUUCAGAGACACCCAGUAAUAAAGGGUUUCACUGGUGAUUAUCAUCCUGGAUUGAAUGCAUUGAAUGCUGUGUGAUUGCCCAAAGAAUUGAUUAAGUGGUUUUGUGUGUGUUAAACUAUUGUCCAGGUAAAAUGAGUGGCCGCAGGGAUUAAGUUUUGGUGCGAUUCAGAGAUUGACCAUAACUAAUGCUUGUGUUCUGAGUGGGGUGGAUAUCCACAACCCAGAUGAAUUGGUGACUAGAGUUUUAAGUUCUGUUAAAGCAUUAGGGGAAACUUACGAUCAUGGAGCGGCACUUUGAACAAACGGUGGACAAAGUAUGGUUUUAGUUCAGACUAGUGAUAAUGUGACAGCAGUCGAUCUGCCUGUUACUAAUGGGGUCCCAAGAGAGGAAGGGCCAAGCAAGGGCUGUCUAUAGAAGAGGGACGUGUAGGCGAGGCUGCUAAAUCGAAAGUCGAGUUUCCCAUAGCUGAGGGUGGAGACUUUAAAGAAAAAUUGCUCUCAUUUCUGCUGAGUGAGAGGAAGGAGUUGUCUGAUGUGAUAGGUCCAGUGAGUCCUUCAGCUGUUGAUUUAAAUUCUGAGCUCAUUUUGGCUAUUACAUCACUGGUUGAUAAAUGCAGAAAUAUAUCUGUGGAGAGCCACAGUUAUUGUAGGCUGGGGGUGUUCUCUAGGGUCAAGCUCACAGCCUGAUGCGGACGAAAAAUGAGGCAUGGGCUGAGCAGACAUUUCAGUUACUGGGUAAAUGGCAGUGCUCAGAUAUGAAAAAACUGAGACCUGGUAGAGAGCUUAAAGGGGCCAGUGGCUGAUACAGUGAGAUCCUUAACGCAGAAAAUCCAUUAGCCACGUCAGCUAAUUAUCUGCAAGCUCUGGAAGAUGCUGGAAGUGCAGCCGAUCUCAGGAUGAAGCUUAGGCACACAUUCCAGGAGGAAGGAGAGAAGCUGUCUGCCUACAUUUUCAGGUUGGAGAAGCUGCUGCACUGUUUGUGCCACAAACGGGGCAUUCAGCUGUCUGAAAGAAAUUGCUUGACGAUAGAGCAAGUUGUGAAGGGCAAAUUGUCACAUGACGCGAUUGCUCUACGUAUUCAAAUGACCCACAAGAUGUGCCCUCCUCCACCUUUUACCAAGUCACUCAGAGAAGUCAGGGAGGAGGAAAAUGCGAUGGAGGAGUGGGAGUCCUCCGUCAGCAGGGCACAGUCCUUGGCAGUAGCCUCUGCUGCUGAAACGACCUCUAGUGCCAUACAGGUGGGGGGUUUGCAGGAUUUUGUGAAAGAUUUGAGAGCUGAGGUAUUCCGGUCGAUACUGGUACCAAGCAUGACAAAGUCGAUAGGGAGUCGGACCCACUGAUGGAAUGUACCAAGGAGAGGGCUGCUGCUGAGUGGGGUCCCUCGACCAGGGGAGCAACUGGUGUUUUCUGUUACAUCCGUGGCAUUGACUUUUCAAGCGGGAGUGUGAAGGACACACCAAAAUCUUUGGAAAGUAAAUCAGCAGUUAAUCAGACAGAAGAAAAGAGAUAAGACUACAAAGGGACCUAGUAAAGGAAUGGGCGGACAUUUCAGAGAGGAUACGACAGUGUAUCAAAGGUAACACUAAAGUACCAAACACUAUUUCUGAAGGAUUAGUGGGACCAAGCUCUGCUGUUUCUAUACAGAUUGAAGGUGUUUAUGCUAGAGUCAUACUUGACACAGGUUCUCAAGUUACUUUGCUUUAUAGAUCCUUUUACAACUGGUAUUUGACACAUUUAUCAUUGACACCACUCAGUGCCCUUGAGAUUUGGGGCUUAGUGCUGAUGAGUACUCAUAUGACAGUUACUUGUCGUUGAAGCUGGAAUUUUUGGAAGCAGAUGUUGGAGUAACUGAGACUACCGACACACUAGUUGGUCUGCCCGGAUCCAGUUAAAAUGGGUGGAGCUUCCAUUUUUGUGGGAACAAAUACUACCGUUGUGAGAAGGCUCCUGUGAGCAUGCAAGGAGAGAAAUUGAAACAACUUUUUGAAAAUCUUGUCCAUUCACCCUGUGUUCAGAGCUGCUUUUGAGAGGGUGCAAGUUUCUCCCAAGCAGGAUGAUGAGCAGAAACGAGGAACUGUGUGGUAACCCAGUCUAAACCUGUUACGUUACAUCCUGAACCCCUGAAUUUGCUGGAAUAUCCACAGAAUGUAGAAGGUUAACUGAGAAGAUGUUAGGGUAUGAAGAGGCAUUUUCUACUGACGAGUCUGAUGUUGAUUACUCCAAGAAUACUUGCCACACUAUUGAAGCGACUGAGGACACCCCCUUCUGAGAGAGGUCUCGCUGGUUAGCACUAGCAGAGGUCGAGCAUAUUUGGCUACACUGGCUUAAACUGACAUUAAGUAAAAUUUGGUUAUGGAGUAGGGGGACACGAGCCACUGAAAGACAUGGGUGAUGGACAGGGAGAGGCACCCUCCAGAAGACAGAAAGGGUCACAAGGGGUGGUUGAAGCUCGAGGAACUGAAGAUAGGAUAAGGAGGUAUCAAAGAAUCAGGACACCCCCAGAUAGGUUGGUCUAUGAUACACUGGGGUAACAGAGUGUUGCUUUCAGAACGAGGGGGUCACAGUUUAAGGAUAAAGGGGAAGCCUUUUAGGACCGAGAUGAGGAAAGACUUCUUCACACAGAGAGUGGUGAAUUUGUGGUAUUCUCUGCCACAGUAAACAGUUGAGGCCAGUUCAUUGGCUAUAUUUAAGAGGAAGUUAGUUAUGGCCCUUGUGGCUAAAGGGAUCGGGGGUAUGGAGGGAAAGCAGGUACAGGGUUCUGAGUUGGAUGAUCAGCCAUGAUCAUACUGAAUGGCGGUGUAGGCUCGAAGGGCCGAAUGGCCUACUCCUGCACCUAUUUUCUACGUUUCUAUGUUUCUUUUCCCCCUAAUGAGAUCUGUCACCACCAUUUACAAAUGGAUUGGAGGUCCUAACAUCACAAAAUUCCUUUGAAAAUUGUAUUAAUAUUAUGUUGAUAAAUUUAUUUUAUGAUUGCUAUGAGUUGUAGUUUUUUUGACCAUUGUAUAUAUAACAGCAUAAUAUUUUACCUAUUUGAUUUUGACAUUAUAUAUUUUCUAGUUUUUAUUAUUGCUGUUUAUAUGUCUUCAAUAUUAUGUUUGCUAAACUCCUCUGAUCUGUAUAUCCUCUAUUUGAAAAUCAAUAAAAAGAUUGAAAAAUGAAAUGAAUGAUGAAUUUCAAAGUCAUGAGGACAUGACUAUUUUUGGUAAGGGGAGAGUGUAAUGCCCUGAUUACGAUUGUUACCGUUAUGCUGUAGGUAUUUCAGUCCAGCAGUUCUGUAAGAGCAGUCUACUCUGCUUUCUGCCUGUUUGAAUUCGAGCUGAGUCAAGGGGCUUUGUUGUUCAGCUUAGGAUAUGAUGUCAGCCAAGCACAAUGGUGGAACUGGGAAAAGGUUGGUGGGGGGAGGUCUUUUUUGGCGGGAGCUGGAGAACACAAGAGAGAAGUUGGCUGAGGAUGCCAUCUCUGUUGCACAAGGUGCUUUGUGCCGAUGAAUGGCUUCAAGGAGUAAGAGCCAAUGCUCCCAUGGGAGACCCUGUUUGUUUGAGAUGGAUUUUGAUUGACAUUCAGAAGAUGGUGUGUGCUUUCAUGUAGACCGAGGGUUCAGCAUGUGAGUUACUGACAACGUCAAGAUGAGCUCCAACUUGCGUGCGCAUUUGACUGUUUAAUUAUAAUAGGCCCUUUUUGUUUUUUUUUUACUUUCUUUUCUUUAAUAACUCCUUGGUUAUGUUAAUGCUCAUAAAUAUAUAUUCUUUAUAGUUGUAUGCAAUGCACAGUCUGUUAUUUUUUUUGCCGACGACUGAUUGCAGUGGGGCAGUAAAUCACAUUCACACAAACUGGGGUUUGGGUGGGCGAGAUAUCCCACCUGGGGGGGGUUAGCAAGACCAAAGUCAUAUAAACCUAAAAUUACGGAGCCUCAGAAAGGUGGUUUCCUCACUUCAGAGUCCAAUGGCUGUUAGCAAGCUGCAUUUCCAGAGAUGCCCAGUAAUAAAAGGUUUCAUAAACGUCUGAACUUUAAUCUAAGCCAUUAUUAUUUCAAUACUGGUGCUUUGGAUUAAGUACAGCAAAAACAUUUGAUUGUAAUUGCUUCAUGUUGUUUUUCAAAUAGUUCCUCAAAAAAAAACAUGUGGUUAAAAAUAAAUGUACUGAUGCAACACAGGAAGAGCCACCUUUGCCACAUUUGCAGAAAUCUGGGUUCACCCCGACCUUAGAUGCUGUAUGGAACUUCCACAUUCUCCUUACAACAGUAUGGAUUUCCCCCGGGUACUUUGGUUUCUUCCUACAUGUCAACCACAUCCUCUGAGCUAAUUUGCUGUUGUAGAUUACUUCUAGUGCUUGGAGGCUGCGGGCAUAGAUGAUUAAAGUACGUGUGAUAGAAUAGGUUAAAGGGAAAUAAAUAGGAAAAAUGGUAUUAAUCUAAGAACCGGUGUGGUUCAUGUCAUCUCCUAUUUUGUAAUAAAAUAUGGAAAUGCAGAUCAUGGCUAGUCUAUGGAAUAAAAGAGAAAACUCCAUUCCAAAGUGAUUCUGUAUAUGCUUAGCAUAUAGUUAUUGCUUAAAAAAAUAAAAAAAUACAGUACUGUCAGGAUGAUGUCCAAAUUUUGUUUAAAUUGUUGCUUAUAAGUUACAUUACAAAUACUAUUCUUUGCAAAUAUGUUUUCAACAGUGGUUUACCAUUAAAAAAUUGUUCAGUCUAUUAUGGAAUCUUUAACAACCACAGGAAGAAACUGCUCUAAAAUAAUUCAAGUUUU